GACGAACGCUGGCGGCGUGCCUAAUACAUGCAAGUCGAACGCAGUGGGGACGGGUGAUUAACACGUGGGUAACCUCCCAUCAGAGGGGCUAAAACUUGGCAACAGGUGCUACACCGAUGCUGAUGGAUGGACCCGCGGUGCAUUAGCUCGUUGGUGAGGUAACGGCUCACCAGGGCCACGAUGCAGAGCCGACUUGAGAGGGUGAUCGGCCACACUGGUACUGAGACACGGCCCAGACUCCUACGGGAGGCAGCAGUAGGGAAUCUUCGGCAAUGGACGAAAGUCUGACCGAGCAACUCCGCGUGAGUGAAGAAGGUUUUCGGAUCGUAAAACUCUGUUGUUAGAGAAGCGGUAUCUAACCAGAAAGCUACGGCUAACUACGUGCCAGCAGCCGCGGUAAUAC
rnacentral:rRNA from 1 species